UGGCGGACGGGUGAGUAACGCGUGGGGAACCUGCCCUGUACCGGGGGAUAGCAGCCGGAAACGGCUGAUAAUACCGCAUAAGCGCACGAAUGUCGCAUGACAUGGUGUGAAAAAACUCCGGUGGUAUAGGAUGGACCCGCGUCUGAUUAGCCGGUUGGUGGGGUAAAAGCCUACCAAAGCGAAGAUCAGUAGCCGAGUUGAGAGACUGACCGGCCACAUUGGGACUGAGACACGGCCCAGACUCCUACGGGAGGCAGCAGCC
rnacentral:rRNA from 1 species